rnacentral:RNase_P_RNA from 2 species
UGAGAGGCCCAGGCGGCCGUUCCGCUGGGCUCCUCCGGGGGCGCGGCGGAGAGGAAAGUCCGGACUCCAGGGGUCGAGGUGGUUGUCAACGACAACCGGUCGUGAGGCCCGGGACAGUGCCACAGAAAACAAACCGCCGGCGUCCGACGGACGCAGGUAAGGGUGAAACGGUGCGGUAAGAGCGCACCGCGCCGCGGGUGACCGCGGUGGCAGGGCAAACCCCACCUGGAGAAAGACCAAAUAGGGAAGGACGAGGUCGGCAACGGCCUCCGGCGCGACCCCCGCCGUGUGCCUUCCGGGUAGGUCGUUCGAGGCCGACCGCGAGGUCGGUCCCAGAGAAAGGGUCGCCACGCCUCCGCGAGGGGGCGGACAGGAUCCGGCUUAUCGGGCCUCUCACGCU